rnacentral:lncRNA from 1 species
UCUGAUUGACCGUUUUGUCCUUCCAGCAUUGCAAAUUUUCUCCUCCAGUUCACCCUUAAGGCAUAAGUCAAGAUGCGUGGACUCUAGCUUGAGACAUUGGUUCACAAGAUGAACUUGGGAAGCAAACAUAAUGUCUUCUCUAUACUGCUCGGAUAUUCGUUGCUCCUCAAAAUAGCUGAGAGUGUUCCAUACAUUAGCAAAGAAAACUCGAUUCAUCUGCCCAAGAACAGCAUAAGACCAUGAUAUAUUACCUAGCUGAUCCCUAUUAAACAUUAGCACAGGAGAGUUAAUAGCUCCAGACUCAACAUCUGCAAUAGCAUCUGCUGUCCUUUCUUUACUAUAUGGUAGCUUACCAGGGAUAAUUAAUUGCUCCAGACUCAACAUCUGCAAUACCAUCUGCUGUAGUUUCUUUAAUAUAAGGUAGUUUACCAUCACUCAAGCUGCAUUUGAAUUGAUUGACAUCACUAAAAACAUUAUAAAGAGAAUCAAGCAUGGGACCAGCUUGCUCAUUCAGAG